AUGAAUCUCCUAAGCUGGAAUUGUCGUGGGAUUGGCAACGCCCCGACAAUUCAAGAGCUACACGAAAUCGCGAGAAAGUUUGCCCCUAAAGUACUAUGUAUUGUGGAAACCCAGAUUAGUGGUGAGAGAGCAGAAAAUCUUAAGAGUACUUUAGAUUAUGAUAAUUCUUUUGUCGUUGGUUCCUCUGGUAGGAGUGGAGGUUUAUGUAUCUUCUGGAACAACGAAAUAAAGAUUGAGAAUUUGGGGUACUCCAAGUAUCACAUAGAUGUAAAGAUCAGUAUUCUUGGGGGAGAACCAUGGAGACUGUCUUGUUUCUAUGGGGAGGCCCAAACGCACUUGAGGCAUCAAAACUGGACCACUAUGAGAAAUCUGGCCACCCUACACGACAUGGCCUGGUUGUGUUUGGGGGAUUUUAACGAGGUUCUGCGCCAAGAGGAGCAUGAUGGGAUUGUUGGAAAUAUGCCCUAG
rnacentral:rRNA from 1 species